AACAGGACCCUCUGCAAAAUGGAAAUACGUCACAGGGAGGGAAAAGGAAGACCGGGAUGAGGGGACGCCCUCGAAAGAAGCGAGCGGUAACUGUUGACAAGAUGCCAGUCCUUGAAGAUAGACGCACUGUGGUCAUUAAACCACAGGACGUUGCUAAGUGGGUGCCCGUCGACACGAAUAUUCGUCGCUUUGUUUCACAGACUCUCGAUGAUGCCUUUUCGUCAAAAAUGAGGAAUGGACUGGAGAAGGAAAUGAUUGCUUUUCAUCAGCAAAACCUCAAAUCCCGGCUGAUACCACUAAUGCAGAUGCCUGUUCCGAAGAAGCUAGGACAUAUGCAAAUAGGAAGGAGCCAUACUGAAGACUUGGAGAAACAACUACAGUCAGUUUUGGAGGCGCAAAGGGACGUCACGGAAGCACUCAGAAGCCUGAAGCAUGACAUUUCUGAUACCAAGAAGAAGACCACAUAUGCUCAGAAAUGUUUGCGCCAGAUUUCCCAUAGUAACAAUUCAACGCAGCUAUGUUCGAGGGAGAAUGAUAUUCUCCACAUUCCUCCUCUGCCUCCCGCCAGCUUUUCUUCGUCUUCUUCCUCAGAUGUAAGUCGGUCUUUAUUUCACGGAAUGGUUGUGCGGUUGUUUCUCACCUCGCCACCUCGACAUUGUGAACUUCUAUCUUAUAAAGUUUAAAGGUUUAUAACUGGCUUCCUUUGCUGCAAUCUGGACGGCAUCGAUGCUCGCGUCCUCAUCUUGCUCUGCCAAGCUUUUCUCUUCGAUUUCCGAUGGACGCGGCUCGACGGCAGUGACGCAUUGUGAUACGUACCACGGACAUUUGGUUUGAUAAUUAUAGGUGUAGUUUCAUGGAUUAUUUGAAAGGCUAAAAGAAGAAGGAGGAUCGAAUACAAUUCUCAAAGUUGUUUGGAGUCUAAAAAUGUGGAACCGAGGGAACAGGUAAAGGCCUGCGAACUGCAGGUGGGCUCCUGCUCGGCCUUGUGCCCUGGCCUUCUGCCAAUACGUGCUGUUGAAUCCAAGGGUUUGGACUUCACUUAAUAGAUGGAGGGGAGCCCGGUAAGAACCACACCACCCUACGGUGGAGAAGCAGGUGCUCCAUAAUGUUAUGGAUACAGUCCUAUGGUGUAAGCAACUGGGCAAUACCAAGGAAGUAUUUGGCAUCGCAAGGAAUGCUCAGUACACACCUGGCCAGAACAGGACAGAUCGUAGUUCCAGAGCUUGGAACAGAGUAAGAACUGGUCUUAGAAUCUUACUCGGGUCUUACUGAAGUGAUGGUAAGAUGAGGGACUUGCUUGGGUUGGAGCUUGUGCACUAUGUUUUAAUUGGUGAUAUGUUAACUUUUCUCGUGUUUAGUUUAAUGGUGGGCCUCAACAUUCUGUAAUUAAAAAAAAUUAUUUUGUCUUCCAGGAGGAGAUGAAUAUGGAAGAUUAAGAUGAUUCGGCUUUUCAAUGAAGAAAAACAAUUCAUCUCAUGUAAUUGUAAUUUAGAUUUAACCCCCCCCCCUCUCCCAGGCACAAUGUAUUCCUUUUCUUGUGUUUGUGCCGUCUACAUGUACACAUGGCAGUCACAAUACACUUUCACUGCUUCUUUACUAUAUCGAGUGAAUUGAUUAUUCCAUUGGGAUUUGGGAUUAAAACAAAUUGCACAUGGUAAUCAUAGAUGGCAUGGAGCGUGGCACUCACAAUUCGGGGAUUCCUUGCUGUGAUCAUCAUCAUCAUCAUCAUCAUCAUCAUAACUGUUGGACUGUAUACCUUCAGGACAGUUUGGGUUGGUCAUUGAUUCAAACCAUUUUUUUUUGUCAGCGAUUACAAGAUUGAAGUUUGUUGAUUUGUCGAUCGUUACGUUGCAAGAGUGAAGAUGGUGUAACAAUAUGCAACUGCUUUCACCAUUGAAUAUCCAUUAUACUGCGAUACCAAGAAAAAUAAAGGAAUGUUCUCCCCUCCUCUCCACCUCACGUGCCUCGUUUUCCCACAAUGUAAAGCAGCUCGUGUGUUA
rnacentral:lncRNA from 1 species